GUGCUUUUCACUGUCAGAAAAUAUUAACAACUAAUGAUAUUUGCAUGGAAAAUGAAUAAACCAUUUAAUCUUGCUGAUAUAGCAUCAUAAAUACAUUCUUUGUCAAAAAUAAUGUCUAGUUAAUGUACAGAAACCCCUAUUUCUAUCUCUUUUUCAGACCAAUAUGAGAGAUAGAUGACUAAGUAAGAACCCCUUAACCACUUACUGGUUCCCCA
rnacentral:lncRNA from 1 species